GACGAACGCUGGCGGCGUGCUUAACACAUGCAAGUCGAACGGAAAGGCCCUGCUUUUGUGGGGUGCUCGAGUGGCGAACGGGUGAGUAACACGUGAGUAACCUGCCCUUGACUUUGGGAUAACUUCAGGAAACUGGGGCUAAUACCGGAUAGGAGCUCCUGCUGCAUGGUGGGGGUUGGAAAGUUUCGGCGGUUGGGGAUGGACUCGCGGCUUAUCAGCUUGUUGGUGGGGUAGUGGCUUACCAAGGCUUUGACGGGUAGCCGGCCUGUGAGGGUGACAGGGAAAAAUGGGACUGAGAUAAGGACCAGAAUACAACGGGAGGAAGCAGUGGGGAAUAUUGCACAAUGGGAGGAAGCCUGAUGCAGAAACGCCGCGUGCGGGAUGAAGGCCUUCGGGUUGUAAACCGAUUUCGCCUGAGACGAAGAGUGAGUGACGGUAAUGGGUAAAGAAGCACCGGCUAACUACGUG
rnacentral:rRNA from 1 species